UAAAAGGGCCUUUGCUGUCAGUAGCACUCAGUUCCAAUCGGGCUGGGCGGAAUCGCAAUCAAGAGAUUUCGGAGGCGUAAUUUUUAUUGCCAGUGGCAGUUGGUGCUCUUUCGCCCGACGCCCGA